ACGAUAAUAAUCAUACCGGUGGCAACGGCCAUCGAAACAAUGAUAACCAUCGUGGGGGAAAUUAUCAUGCCAAGAAUGGUAACCACUUCGGUGGUAAUCAUGGCCAAGAUAAUAGAUGUGGAAAAUUCAAGAAGAGAAGGUCACCUAGCCCGAUUUUGUCAUGCACCAAAGUCAAGUCCAGCUGGGAUAGUGAUGCCAAAGGAUGUCUCAGAAAACUCAAAGCCGGUAGUUUAAGUGAGAGCGUUUAUCAUAGAACCCGAACGAGGUUAUUACGGGUAAGUUAAUCAUAAGCUCUUGCAAAAUCUAUACCUUAUUCGAUACCGGUUCUACCUAUUCUUUUUAUCUCUCUUGCUUGCUCUCAACAUUUAAAUUUGACUCCGGAGAAAUUAGACUUUGAUUUAUCGGUUGAAACCCCG
rnacentral:lncRNA from 1 species